rnacentral:lncRNA from 1 species
AAAAAAAAAAAAAACCAAGUGGAUGUCUAAAAACCUGUUAAGCCACUUUAAUUAGGGAUGUCAGCUGGUCGGAUUCGGGAUGAAUUUUUAAGGACCCGAAUCCGAACCCGAAUCUAUACCCGAUGGAUUGUAAAAAUCCAUAUCCAAAUCUGAGCCCGACCGAAAAUUCGAAAUCCGAACCCGAACCCGAACCCCAAACCGAAACAAUUAUUUCUCUUUUCAAUAUUUCAAAAUAUAUAUUACAUUAAAUCUAAAAUUUUAAAAUACAAAUUCAAAUAUAAAAUCAAAAUUUUAUAUGCAUAUUAUAUAUAGUGUAAAAUAAAUUCGGAUUUGGGUCGGGUUCAGUUCGGACCAGGUGCAGUCAAAAUCCAUAUCUAUCGGGUUUUUGUUUUGAUAUCUAUAUCCGAAACCAUAUCUGUUUAGCAUCGGAUAAAUUCACUCCGUUCGGAUUCAGGCUCGGAUAAAAUUUUGCGUAUCCGUACCCAUUGACAUCCCUAACUUUAAUGCAUGUCCAAUGUGAAGUACAAUGUAAAUUUGGGUUCUAAAGAUUUUAGAUUUGACCACCUUUCUCAAACCAAAUUUUUAUGCCCUGAAUGUGUCAAAAGAGAAAGGUUUUAAUACAUUAUAUAUCAAGGGUUUCUCUUUGUUUGUUAUUAUUUUUAAAUGUGUAAUCUCGUAGAUUUAUAUAAAUUACAAGAUUACAUCAUUAGUAAGUACCCUCAAGAACUGAUCUCAAGUUAUAAAUUUUAAAAAUUAUCUGGACAAAAAUUGAAAAAUGUUAAAUUUACAAUAUACUUUCUUUCGUUAUAAAUCUUUAAAAAAUUAUUUGGACAGAAAUUUAAAAAUUAUUUGAAUAAAAUUUAAAAUAUUUUAAAAAUUUUAGAUAAUUUUAAAAUUAAAAUUAAUUGAUUUUUUUUUUUAAGAAAGAGACUCAACGCUAGGCCUAACUCCCUUACGAGUUGAGAGAAGGGAGCCCAGGAAGUUAUCACCCUCUUGAGGGUCGAGCCGUGCUAGCCUGGCAGGCACGGCCUACACAGGCCAUGCUGUGCCGUGCCGUGCGGUGCCGAUGGGCCUAAAUCUGUAGGCCCAACACGGUUCGAAAGGUCAGGCCAGGCGGGACUAGCAUGAGUUCUAUGGUAUCCGUGCCGUGUCUAGGUCUGGACUGGAGCAGUGCCGCCCGCGCCUUACUCUCUUUACAUACUUCAACUCGCCCCAAUCCAUCCUCUCACCACUUUAAACAUGAUCUGGCUCAAAUCAGCCACCCGCCAACUCAAAAUUUAACUCGGCCCAACCUGAUCUCUUGUCAUGAGGCAGGAUGCAAUAUGAAAUAUCACUACUAUACCUAAAAAUACUGAUUCAAUCUACAAACUAUUUUUAAGGUUGGCAGGAAAAAUUAGGUGCUCACAAAUAAACCGGACGCCCAAAUUUGUGCAUCUGAUUUUUUUUUAGUCGAGUCUGGUUUUCCGACAGAAGUUGCCUAAUCACUCAGUGAGAAAAUAUUAUGAUUUUUUGGACUGUUUUCGGAAUGACCUUAUAAAAUUAUUCAAUUAGAUAAAUAAUCUUAUGAAAAAAAAAAUUUAGCAAACUAAUCCUUCUUUUAUCAUGUAUUUCAAUAUAUCUAUUUAAAUUCAUAUAUAAUUACAACUGCAAUAUAGUUGCAGCUUUAUACUGCCGAAAAAAAUCUCUAGCUAUCAUGUAUGAGAAUAAGAUAGUCCCUGAAGCAAUCAUGUCAGCAAUAUAUAUUUCAAUUAUAAAUUCUUUCUAGUAUAUUCUCAUAUAACUAUUGCACCAUGAGAUCAAUUUUUCACUAGGAGCUUUUGCUUACUUACUCUUUAUUAUUAUUCAAAAUAUUUAAAUUUAUUCUGAAUUUACUAAAGUAUUCUCCUAUGAUCUAAUUUCAUUAGUAAACCCUAAGAAAAAUCAGAAUAUUUAAAGGAAUUAUUUAGAGAUCAACGAGAGUAUAUUGGUCCUUCGGAAAUAAAUAAAACUAGUGUAGUAAUCCGUGCGAUGCGGCAGAUAGAUAAUAGAAGAAAAAACAAAAAAUAUUGAAGAGGAAGAAGAAAAGGACUUUGGAAAAUAAAAAUUCAAGUGUGUUUUUUCUUUUUGUAGUGAAAUGUAUGAAUUGAACUAACCAAUAUAGACCAUUCAAAAUAGAUAACUGCCCAGAAUCACCAUUCAAAAGAAAAACUUACAAAGUUUGUAUGAAGAUGAAGAUGAUAAUGUUGCGAUGAUGACGACAAUGGCGAUGAAAAUCUCAUGAAGGUUUGUAGGAUUUUACAACAUUUUGGGCAUGGGAUCGUCAGAAGUUGCGGGUCGGAACUGCCACAUCAAUUAUGAAAUCAAAACUAACUUCUAAAUUAAUCAAAAUAAUGCACAUAAAUCAAAUCCUUGAUUGAUACAACCGCCAUAUAAAAAAUAAUGCAAAUAAAUUAAAUCCUAAAUGAAUACAUAGUGAGAAAUCAAGAUUAAAAAUAAAUAAAAGAUAAAUUAGGUUUAGGAUUUUCGUUUCUCAAACCUACCUCUCGAUCCGUUUAUUAUCGCUAUCCAAUUAGCUUCCUCUACUGAAAAAGCCGUUCGAUUAUCUUCUUUUUUCAUAAAUUCGAAGAGAUCGACAUAAAUAGAAACCCUAGAAGUACUCUCUUGAUCGAGAAGGAUCGGGUCGAGUCGGGUUGGCAUGGAUUAGGGUUUAAAGAACUUCCUUACUCUUCCCUAAUCUCUAGAUCUGAAAGUACGUAGUAACUAUUCAUCUUCUCCUCUUUUAAUUUUGCAGAUUAGAAAUUAUUUGAGGAAAAAUAAAGGACUAAUAUUGAAGAGAAAAAAUUAGAAAUAUAUAAAUUAAAGAACACAUUGAUUACAGGUUAUUGAAUAGAGAGGAGGGGAGAGGAAAAGCUUAGAGCAAAAAUCAGUUCAAAAAAUGGACUAGUGAGGGUGAAUGAAAACUUGCCACGUGGCAAAAAUAUUGGGAAUUUAUAUAGGUUAAUAGAUAUUUUUUAAGUUUUGAAGAGUAUAUUAAUUAAAUAUUAUUUCUUUACAGUAACAUCUCUGCCAUUUUAACAUGGAAUUCAACAGAAGAACUUGAUCAAAUUGGAAAAAUAUUGAGGUGGGGAACUUCAAAGCCUAACUUUAAGAAUAAACCAAUAAAAAAAAAAAGUAGUCUCUCUCUCAAAAAAAAAAAAUAUCUAUUAAAAUAUUGUUAUAGAGCACUACAAAUUGAAACUUUUCUUAAAGCACAUAAUUUGAAGGUUAAAUUGCACCUUUCCUCCUUGAACNAAAAAAAAAAAUUAAAAUAUUGUUAUAGAGCACUACAAAUUGAAACUUUUCUUAAAGCACAUAAUUUGAAGGUUAAAUUGCACCUUUCCUCCUUGAACUUUGAGGGGCGCAGCAUUUUUAUUCUCGAACUUUAAUUUAUUCUAUAUUUUAUUUGAAAUUUUUUUACUAAAAUGUUACAUCACUGUCACAUUAGCGAAAAAUCUAUAUCCAUCCAACUAAAUUAUUCUGCAAAAUUUAAAUUAUAAUAAAUUAAAAAUUUGAGAACCAAAGUAUUAAAAAACUAAUUUUGCAAAUCAAAAGUACAAUUUAUGCUAACUUGAAUUUAACAUGUAUCAAGUAAUAAAAAAAAAAGAAAGAUGAAGAUUUAAUUUAAGAACUUAAAUAUAAUUAUUUAAUUCAAAUAUUUGUAUAGUAAAAAUACGAGAUUCGAAUAAUAUGAUGAAAUUAAAAAAAAAAAAUAGAACUAAUUCUAGUAUCAUAUUAGUAGUAAUUUUAAAUAGAAUCUAUGGAAUUAUCAAUCCGUAUAUUAUUGUUUUUUCAAAGUCUUUUCGAAGUCAAAAGAAGCACCUGUGAAAGGUACACAAAGAUGACAAUGACAUGCAAUGUAAAAUGGACCAUACAACACCUACUUAGUUAUAUGAGGUGCUUUAAAUAUUAAAAUAUUAUUACGUUAGUGAUGUUAUGUGUGUCUUAGUAUAUAUGUAUGUAUAUGUAUAGGUAUACUUCAUAACAUUUUUUAUGAGAUGGUAAUAUUUUUUAAAAAUCUUGCACCUUAAUUUCUAAAUAUUAAAUGUUGUUUGUAAAUUUUAAAUUUUAAAUUUAAUUUUUUUUUUUUACAUUGAAGUACAUGUUGCAGGGGACCCAAAAUAUUAUUCUUAUAAUUUUCGCAACUUUUAGUUUUCAGAAUUAUUAGUUGUUGCACAUAGUAGAUUAUGCUAUUUUGUGAAAUCCCAUGAGAGUAAAAUUUAAUGGCCAAUUUGCAUAAAAAAUUCACUUAUUUUGGGCUUUUGCAAAACCGGGCCACCUUUUUCGUUUUUGCAGAUUUGGUUCGCUUUUUCGUCCGCCUGACCAAAAUACCCUUAUUACUUUUUCUCUUUUCUCUUUCUCUCUCCUCUAUGUUUCUAUCGUUCUUUUUUUUUUUUUCUCUUGUGUGCCGCGCACCAGCCCUUCUCCCAUCAGACCAUCCUCGCUGCGCCGUCCCCAUCAGCCGUCGCUUCACCGAACCCGCACGCCUCCCGCUCCUGUCCGACGCCGCACCUCUCGCGCCCCGCACGGCCGCUCCCGUCGCUCGCCGCCGAAGCGCGAUUCUUUUUUUUUUUCUGCGCCGGCCCCGCCGUUCCCCUUCGAAUCCUCCUGCGCCGCCCCCAUCACCGUCGCGUUCACCGAACCGCACCCUCUCCGCUCCUCCCGUGCAACCCGCACCCCUCGACGGCCCCCACGGCCGGUCCUCCGCCCCGCCAGAGCGAUCCCCGCGCCGGCAGCGAAGGACGCCCGUGGGGGCCAUCGAGGGGUGCGGGUCGCCGCGGGGAGCGAGGAGGGUGCGGUUCGGGAACGCGACGGUGAUGGGGACGACGCAGGAGGAUUCGAAGGAGAACGACGGGCGCGGCGAGAAAAAAAAAAGAGCGAUAGAAUUACACCAUUACACCAUUACCAUUACGCCAUUACACCAUUACCAUUACACUAUUACACCAUUACCAUUACACCAUUACACCAUUACCAUUACACCAUUACACCAUUACACCAUUUACGCCAUUACACCAUUACACCAUUACACCAUUUGCCGACGGAGAAGAACACGCGCGGGUCUUUUUCAUUUUCUUCUUCUUCCUGCUGCGGAGGACUUCGACUCCCUCGAUCUCCGCUGACGGGGGCGCCCCUUCCGCCACCGCCUCGGCGGGGCGCGGCGGCGCCGAUGGCGUCGUCGGACGAGGAGACGUUUUACACGCCGCAGCGCUCGGCGGAGUCGGCGUACAGCGACAACCCCAGCAGCCCCAUCUCGCGGCAAUGGUGUCGAAAGCUCGUCGGCGAUGGUGAGGGAGCUGCUCGAGGUGGUGCUCGCGCUGUUGAGCUCGGGCUUGGCGGCCGCCGACCUGCGCUGGUCGACGAGGCCGCGCAGGCCGUAGGCUGCGACGAGCGAAGAAGCCGCAAAGCUCGGGGCCAGCUCCGCCACCACUGCCGCAUUGCUCCGCCGCAGCCGCUCAUUCUCUUCCACCAACGCCGUCGCUCCUCCUACGUUGGCGGCGGCGGCGGCGGAGGCGGUAGGGGUGGGGCCGAGGACGAGGAGGCGAGGAGGAGAGGGGGAGUCAGUCUAGGGCUGGGGGUCCGCAGCAACGGGAUCGAAGAAAGGAGAGAGAAAAAAAAGAGGAGAGAGAAAAAUAUGUAAGGAUAUUUUGGUCAGUUUGCUGAAAAAGUGGCCGAAUCUGCAAAAACGAAAAAAGUGGCCCGGUUUUGCAAAAACCCAAAAUAAGUGGAUUUUUUAUGCAAAAAUGCCAAAUUUAAUUUCGUGUCGUUAUUUAUUGGCCAAUUUGCAUAAAAAAUUUACUUAUUUUGGGCUUUUGCAAAACCGGGCCACAUUUUUAGUUUUUGCAGAUUCAGUCCGUUUUUUUAGCAAACUGACCAAAAUACCCUUAUUAUUUUUUCUCUUUCCUCUUUCUCUCUCCUCUUCGUUUCUCUCUUCUUUUUUUUCUCGCCGGAAGAGCGAAGACGGAAACGAUCCGUCUCGCCUCUCACCCUCAUUCUCUCGCCCUCGUUCUUGCCCUCGUCCAUGAACUCCCCCCACCUUCCUCGCCUCCCACCCCGCCAAGGCCGCGUCGCGACUUUUUUUUUUUUGCUUUUUUCUUUUCUUUUCUUCUUCGACUCUUCUCCACCGUCUCCGACGACGACGCCUCUCUCGCUCUUCCCCGCCCUUCUCAUCUCUCCCUCUCCCUCAUUUUCUGCCGCCUCCAACGACGAUGUAUCUUCGCCGGCUCCGACGUCGACACCGUGGAGGUCACUGCGGUGCUACAGCCUCGGAGUGGGGGUCCUUAGUGGCGUCGUCGCCGACGCCGUGGCUGUUGGCAGAGAGGGUGACAAAAAAAAAAUUAUAGAAAAAAUAGAAAAAAAAAUAAAGAUAAAAAAUUAUAUAAAAAGAAGGAUGAAGAUUAAAUUGCAUCGUUAAUUUUAAAAAAAAUUAUAAGUUACACUACUUAAAAUGUAAACUACUGUUUUAAGAUGAAAAUUAUACUCUUUGAACGAAAAUUAUACCUUUUGGGUAAUAUUUACACUGUUUCUAUUCUUAUUGCACUUUUUACAGAUGUAAACUGCACCCAUUAAAAUGAAAACUAUAUUCUUUAAACGAAAGUUGCACUGUUUUUCUCUUGUUGCACCAUUUCUCCUCUUGUUACACUAUUUUUUAUCUUAAACUGCACCAUUUUAAAAGAUAUUUAUAUUGUUUCUCCUCUUAUUGCACUGUUUUUUUUCUUGUUGCACCAUUUCUGUGUAAACAAGAGGAGAAAUAGUGCAACAAGAGGAGAAACAGUGCAACAAGAGGAGAAACUGCACUGUUUUAAAAAAUAUAUAUACUGUUUCUUCUCUUGUUACACUGUCUCUCCUCUUGUUGCGCCAUUUCUGUGUAAACAAGAGGAGAAAUAGUGUAACAAGAGAAAAAACUGUGCAACAAGAGAAAAAACUGCACUGUUUUAAGAAAUAUAUAUACUGUUUCUUCUCUUAUUACACUAUUUCUCCACUUGUUGCGCCAUUUCUGUGUAAACAAGAGGAAGAAUAGUGCAACAAGAAAAGAAACAGUGCAACAAGAGAAGAAACUGCACUCUUUUAAGAGAUAUUUAUACUAUUUCUCCUCUUGUUACACUGUUUCUCCUCUUGUUGCACCAUUUAUAUGUAAACAAGAGGAGAAAUAGUGCAACAAGAGGAGAAACAAUGCAACAAGAGGAGAAAUAGUAUAAAUAUCACUUAAAUGGAUGCAGUUUAAGAUAAAAAAUAGUGUAACAAGAGAAGAAAUUGUGUUACAAAAGAAAAUAGUGCAACUUUCGUUUAAAGAGUGUAAUUUUUAUCUCAAUGAUUGCAGUUUACAUCUGAACGAGUGCAAUAAAAAUAGAAACAAUGUAAAUAUCUCCCAAAGAGCGUAAUUUUCGUUCAAAGAAUAUCAUUUUCAUCUUAAAGCAGCAGUUUACAUCUUAAAUAAUGCAACUUAUAAUUUUUUUUUGUAAUGAACGAUACAAUUUCAUCUCCAUCAUUCUUUUUAUAUAAUUUUUUAUCUUUAUUUUUUUUUUCUAAUUUUUCUAUAAUUUUUUUUUGUCAUCCUCUCUGCCAAUAGCCACUGCGCCAGUGACGACGCCGCUAAGGACCCCCCGCUCCGAGGCUGUAGCGCCGCAGUGACCUCCACGGUAUCGACAUCGGCGCCGGCGAAGAUGCAUCAUCGUCGGAGACGGCAGAAAAUGAAGGAGAGGGAGAGUUGAGAAGGGCGGGGAAGGGCGAGAGCGGCGUCGUUGUCGGAAACUGUGAAGAAGAGUCGGAGAAGAAAAGAAAAGAAAAAAGCAAAAAAAAAAAAGGUCGGGCGCUGCAUUGGCGGGGUCGGAGGCGAGAAAGGUGGGGGGUGCGUGGACUAGGGCAAGGGCGAGGGCGAGAGCAUGAGGGUGAGAGGCUGUUUCCGCCUCCGCUCCGCCGGCGAGAAAAAAAAAAAACGAGAGAAACGAAGAAGAGAGAGAAAGAGGAAAGAGAAAAAGUAAUAAGGGUAUUUUGGUCAGUUUGCUGAAAAUGCGGACUGAAUCUGCAAAAACGAAAAAGGUGGCCCGGUUUUGCAAAAGCUCAAAAUAAGUGAAUUUUUUAUGCAAAUUGGCCUUAUUUAUUAAACGUAUAAUAUUACAGUACAAAAUUCUAAAUUUAAAUUUUAGUUAUAUUUAAUUUUUUCUGAUAAGUUUAAUAAGUUAAUUGCAUCGUAAUACACUAUAUUUUAGUAUUAUUUUUAUUUACUAUAUUAUAGUAUAACUUUUUUAAAAAAUGCUAUUAUAUUAUUAUACUUUAUUAAUUUUUAUGCUAUUUUAAAUUUAAUUUUGUUUUUCUAAUUUAGACUAUUUUCUUUUCUCAUCGAUAUCACUAAACUUUUUUUUUGGUCAAUCUCUAUUUUAUUGCCAAUAAAUUUAUUAUUUAAAUGAAAUCAACAAUUUUAAAGGUGCUGAUUAAAUAGUAAAAAAGAUAUAAAAUAACUUUUUGUGAUUGACUUGUUAAAAGUUUUAUCAAAUUAUUUAUUAUUAUUUUUAUAUAUUUUAAUAUUUUUAUGUCAAAAUAAAUUAAAUAUAUAUUCUCAUAUUUUUAACCAAUAUUUUUUAAUA